rnacentral:rRNA from 1 species
CGCAAGCCUGACGGAGCAAGACCGCGUGGGGGAGGAAAGCCUUUGGGUUGUAAACCCCUUUUCUCAGGGAAGAAGAAAGUGACGGUACCUGAGGAAUCAGCCUCGGCUAACUCCGUGCCAGCAGCCGCGGUAAUACGGAGGAGGCAAGCGUUAUCCGGAAUGAUUGGGCGUAAAGCGUUCGUAGGUGGCAAUUCAAGUCUGCUGUCAAAGACAGUAGCUCAACUACUGCAAGGCAGUGGAAACUGAAUAGCUAGAGUGCGGUAGGGGCAGAGGGAAUUCCCGGUGUAGCGGUGAAAUGCGUAGAGAUCGGGAAGAACACCGGUGGCGAAGGCACUUUACUGGGCUAUUUCUGACACUAAGAGACGAAAGCUAGGGUAGCG